AUAAAACCAAAUAAGACAAAUUGUUAACUACGUAAACAGAGAUGUCAUCGACGAAGUGUCAUCGCCCUUCUUCUAGCGUCCUACGUAAACCAGUAAGGCUUCUAACGCUCUUGAUCUGUCGCAUUUGGGUGUUUUAACAAUUAGCUAAAGCCCUUCUGCUCUUGCAACACAUUCUUGUAGAAGAAUAGAUUCGAACGUCAUCGCUUCAUUUUCUCCUGCCGCUUUAUUGCUUAGGUCGAGAAGAGGGACCGAAAAUUUGGUUUUAAUUAACCGAUUUUAUGUGUCCAUGUUUUUUUAUUCUUUUUUGCUAUGGAUUCAUACUUUUAGGUUUCAAAUUAUGUUUGUAACCUAAACUGUUUUCAUUUUAUGAAAUAUUUACAAUUUAGCAAAAAAAAAAAAAAAAAUCUUCUUCUACACGAGUAUGAUUAUUUUCAUCUCACUCUUUAAAAACUAAACAAUGAUACUAUCUGUUAGCUCCAGUUAACGAUGUGUCUCAAUUGGCUUAGUCAACCAGAAUUCGAGAUUAAAUAAAAAGUCAACAUAAAAUUGAAGAUUUAAAUCAUCAGAUUCAUAU
rnacentral:sRNA from 1 species